rnacentral:rRNA from 1 species
UACGUAGGUGACAAGCGUUGUCCGGAUUUACUGGGCGUAAAGAGCGCGCAGGCGGUCGAUCAAGUCGAGUGUGAAAGCCCCCGGCUCAACUGGGGAGGGUCAUUCGAUACUGAUCGACUCGAAGGCAGGAGAGGGUAGUGGAAUUCCCGGUGUAGUGGUGAAAUGCGUAGAUAUCGGGAGGAACACCAAUGGCGAAGGCAGCUCGCUGGGACGUUACUGACGCUGAGACGCGAAAGCGUGGGGAGCAAACAGG